rnacentral:rRNA from 1 species
UACGUAGGGUGCAACCGUUAAUCGGAAUUACUGGGCGUAAAGCGUGCGCAGGCGGUUUUGUAAGUCUGAUGUGAAAUCCCCGGGCUCAACCUGGGAAUUGCAUUGGAGACUGCAAGGCUAGAAUCUGGCAGAGGGGGGUAGAAUUCCACGUGUAGCAGUGAAAUGCGUAGAGAUGUGGAGGAACACCGAUGGCGAAGGCAGCCCCCUGGGUCAAGAUUGACGCUCAUGCACGAAAGCGUGGGGAGCAAACAGG